GUUGUGGCUCAGCGUUAGAGCACUCGUCUGGCAAGUGUGGGGCACUGGGUUCGAUCCUCAGCAUCACA
rnacentral:tRNA from 1 species